AGUGAACGCUGGCGGGGGGCCUAACACAUGCAAGUCGAACGGAAGGACCGUAAGAUCUUGCUUUUACGGGUGGCGAGUGGCGGACGAGUGAGGCAUUCACCGGCACCUUCUUUUUCGUGGGCGUCAGCGAAGGGGGGCUUAUACUACUACGGAAUACCUUCUCCCGGGUGGGGCAGGGGAUCUUUGGGCGUUUGGCGAUGGAAUUAGCCGAUGUCGGAUUGGCUAGUGGGCUGGGUAAUGGCCCAGCAAGGCGAGGAACCGUAGCUGAGCGGAGAGGAUGGUCGGCCACACUGGAACUGGGACACGGUCCAGACGCCUACGGGAGGCAGCAGUGGGGAAUAUUGGGCAAAGGGCGAAAGCCUGAUCCAGCCAUACCGCGUGGGUGAAGAAGGCCUUCGGGUCGUAAAGCCCUUUUGUUGGGAAAGAACAGCUGCAGGUUAAUACCCCGCUGUUCUGACGGUACCCAAUGAAUAAGCACCGGCUAACUACGUG
rnacentral:rRNA from 1 species